UACGAAGGGGGCUAGCGUUGUUCGGAAUUACUGGGCGUAAAGCGCGCGCAGGCGGUUCUUUAAGUCAGGGGUGAAAGCCCAGAGCUCAACUCUGGAACUGCCCUUGAAACUAGAGAACUUGGGUACGGGAGAGGUGAGUGGAAUUCCGAGUGUAGAGGUGAAAUUCGUAGAUAUUCGGAAGAACACCAGUGGCGAAGGCGGCUCACUGGCCCGUUACCGACGCUCAGGCGCGACAGCGUGGGGAGCAAACAGG
rnacentral:rRNA from 1 species